rnacentral:rRNA from 1 species
GUGUCAGCCGCCGCGGUAAUACGUAGGGGGCGAGCGUUGUCCGGAUUUACUGGGCGUAAAGCGCGUGUAGGCGGGAGAUUAAGUCGGGUGUGAAAGCCCGGGGCUCAACCCCGGGAUGCCGCCCGAGACUGGUCUCCUUGAGGACGGAAGAGGGGAGUGGAAUUCCUGGUGUAGCGGUGAAAUGCGUAGAGAUCAGGAGGAACACCCGUGGCGAAGGCGGCUCCCUGGUCCGUUUCUGACGCUGAGACGCGAAAGCGCGGGGAGCGAACGGGAUUAGAAACCCCCGUAGUCC